GACGAACGCUGGCGGCGUGCUUAACACAUGCAAGUCGAACGGAAAGGCCCUGCUUUUGUGGGGUGCUCGAGUGGCGAACGGGUGAGUAACACGUGAGUAAACUGCCCUUGACUUUGGGAUAACUUCAGGAAACUGGGGCUAAUACCGGGUAGGAGCUCCUGCUGCACGGUGGGGGUUGGAAAGUUUCGGCGGGUGGGGCUGGACUCGCGGCUUAUCAGCUUGUUGGUGGGGUAGUGGCUUACAAAGGUUUUGAAGGGUAGGCGGCCUGGGCGGGUGACCGGCCACAUGGGGACUGAGAUACGGCCCAGACUCGUACGGGAGGCAGCAGUGGGGAAUAUUGCACAAUGGACGGAAGCCUGAUGCAGCAACGCCGCGUGCGGGAUGACGGCCUUCGGGUUGUAAACCGCUUUCGCCUGUGACGAAGCGUGAGUGACGGUAAUGGGUAAAGAAGCACCGGCUAACUACGUG
rnacentral:rRNA from 1 species